GAUGAACGCUAGCGGGAGGCUUAACACAUGCAAGUCGAGCGGUAGGGCAGCAAUGCCUGAGAGCGGCGCACGGGUGCGUAACGCGUAUGCAACCUGCCUUAUACAGGGGAAUAGCCCAUGGAAACGUGGAUUAAUGUCCCAUAGGAUUACGGAUUCGCAUGGAUUUGUGAUUAAAACUGAGGUGGUAUAAGAUGGGCAUGCGUCUGAUUAGGUAGUUGGUAGGGUAAUGGCCUACCAAGCCGACGAUCAGUAGGGGUUCUGAGAGGAUUACCCCCCACACGGGUACUGAGACACGGACCAGACUCCUACGGGAGGCAGCAGUGAGGAAUAUUGGUCAAUGGCCGGAAGGCUGAACCAGCCAUCCCGCGUGCAGAAUGACGGCCCUAUGGGUUGUAAACUGCUUUUGUACCUGAAGAAACCUGUCUACGAGUAGACAGUUGCCGGUAAGGUAUGAAUAAGCAUCGGCUAACUCCGUGCCAGCCGCCGCCGUAAAAC
rnacentral:rRNA from 1 species